UACGUAGGGUGCAAGCGUUAAUCGGAAUUACUGGGCGUAAAGCGUGCGCAGGCGGUUUGCUAAGACAGAUGUGAAAUCCCCGGGCUUAACCUGGGAACUGCAUUUGUGACUGGCAGGCUAGAGUAUGGCAGAGGGGGGUAGAAUUCCACGUGUAGCAGUGAAAUGCGUAGAGAUGUGGAGGAAUACCGAUGGCGAAGGCAGCCCCCUGGGCCAAUACUGACGCUCAUGCACGAAAGCGUGGGGAGCAAACAGG
rnacentral:rRNA from 1 species